CACGUAGGGCGCAAGCGUUGUCCGGAAUUAUUGGGCGUAAAGAGCUCGUAGGCGGUCUGUUGCGUCCGCUGUGAAAUCUCGGGGCUUAACCCCGAGCCUGCAGUGGAUACGGGCAGACUAGAGGUAGGUAGGGGAGAAUGGAAUUCCCGGUGUAGCGGUGAAAUGCGCAGAUAUCGGGAGGAACACCGGUGGCGAAGGCGGUUCUCUGGGCCGAUACUGACGCUGAGGAGCGAAAGCGUGGGGAGCGAACAGG
rnacentral:rRNA from 1 species